UUUCGUGUGGUUGACAAUGCCGUCUGAAAACGAAGAACAUUACAAUUGCUUAUUGGAAUACAUUCGAAUGAUAUUGGAACACUAAUUUCUGAUCAAAACUUUCUAGCUAGAUAUUGCUAUAGGCCUAUUUUAGUUCACUCGCUACGACUCAACGCAAGGAUUCAUUUUUUUCGAACUGCUAUAGGAAAACAAGCAAGAUAGCAGGUCGAACAUCAUUUUUAAGUGUUAUUUUUACUUUCGUGUUGAAAAUAAUUAGCAAAUAUAAAACAAUGUCUUACAUUUAAUGCGCUCUAUACAAAGUUGAUGCGAGCGAGACCUGUCCUUACACUGUAUUUAUCAGAGGCCACCAAAUCAAUGCGGCAACAGAGAACUCAUCACAAUGGACAAAUUGAUGGAACAAGGUUAGAUAACUUUAGUAGCUAUACAUUAUAAAACCAGCAAGGCGACAGAACCGAAACACAUUUUGGGCAGGCGAGGAUAUUGUUUUAAUUCGUGAGCGUUUUGUGGUCAACUCUGCGGCAUCAAAGAAGACUCGUGUACAUAACAAGAAGGGACAGCAAGUGAAAUGGUCGGCAACACGAUCCACUGGUUCAGGAAGGGCCUGCGGCUCCACGACAACCCCUCGCUGAAGGAGUCUAUCCGGGGAGCUGACACCCUUCGCUGUGUUUACAUUCUAGACCCCUGGUUUGCAGGGUCCUCCAACGUGGGCAUCAGCAGGUGGAGGUUCUUACUACAAUGUCUGGAGGACCUAGACGCCAGCCUCCGCAAGCUCAACUCCCGUCUGUUUGUCAUCCGGGGCCAGCCUACUGAUGUCUUCCCUAGGCUGUUCCAGGAAUGGCAGACCAGACAGCUGUCUUAUGAGUACGACUCUGAGCCCUUUGGCAAGGAACGUGACGCCGCCAUCCAGAAGUUGGCCAGCGAGGCCGGUGUGGAGGUUACUGUCAAAGUCUCCCACACGCUCUACGACCUGGACAAGAUCAUCGAGCUAAACGGAGGCCAGUCCCCUCUCACCUACAAGCGUUUCCAGGCGCUCAUCAGUCACAUGGAUGCCGUGGAAUCGCCCGCUGAGACCAUCACUGCUGAGGUCAUGAGGAAGUGUGCCACGCCCAUCAGUGAUGACCAUGACGACAAGUUUGCCGUACCCUCCCUGGAGGAGCUUGGCUUUGAGACCGAAGGCCUGGCUACAGCAGUAUGGCCGGGGGGAGAGACGGAGGCCCUCACUCGCCUGGAGAGGCACCUGGAGAGAAAGGCAUGGGUGGCCAACUUUGAGCGUCCCCGGAUGAACGCCAACUCCCUGCUGGCCAGCCCCACGGGCCUCAGCCCCUACCUCCGCUUCGGCUGCCUCUCCUGUCGCCUCUUUUACUUCAAACUCACUGACCUCUACAGGAAGGUGAAGAAAAACAGCUCUCCGCCCCUCUCGCUCUAUGGCCAGCUGUUGUGGCGCGAGUUCUUCUACACCACAGCCACCAACAACCCCCGCUUUGACAAAAUGGAGGGCAAUCCGGUGUGUGUGCAGAUCCCCUGGGACCGCAACCCGGAAGCACUGGCCAAGUGGGCCGAGGGGAGGACAGGGUUCCCCUGGAUUGACGCCAUCAUGACCCAGCUGAGGCAGGAGGGCUGGAUCCACCACCUGGCCAGACAUGCUGUGGCCUGCUUUCUCACUAGAGGAGACCUGUGGAUCAGCUGGGAGGAGGGCAUGAAGGUAUUUGAGGAGCUGCUCCUGGAUGCAGACUGGAGUGUGAAUGCAGGCAGCUGGAUGUGGCUCUCGUGCAGCUCCUUCUUCCAGCAGUUUUUCCACUGCUACUGCCCUGUGGGCUUCGGCAGGAGGACGGACCCAAACGGAGACUACAUACGGCGCUAUCUGCCCAUACUGAAGGCCUUCCCAGCCAAGUACAUCUUCGACCCCUGGAACGCGCCCGAGAGCGUGCAGAAGGCAGCCAAGUGCGUGAUCGGCAUGCAUUACCCCAAGCCCAUGGUGCACCACACCGAGGCCAGCCGCCUCAACAUCCAGAGGAUGACGCAGAUCUACCAACAGCUCUCCUGCUACCGCGGUCUGGGUGAGCACCGAGCACAACCUGCUGAAACUACAGCUAAUAGCCUGAAAAUCCACUUAAAAUCAGCCAUUUUCUGGGCUGCUCGCGACAGUGCCUGCCAAUCCUAACAAUGGUGGAAAUGGUGUGGGGACCUCCCCUGAAGAAAUCCAGCAUGAGGCAGGUAAAGGUAAAGCAGGCAGAGGACAUGCUGCCGUGAAGCGUAGCAAUGAGGACCUCACACCGGGGGGUAGCAACAAGGCCCAGAGGCAGACCAGCAACUAGUCCCUGAUGUGAAGGGUAGAGGAGAUGGGGUACCAGCUACCCUGUUGAUCUCCAGUAGGCUCCACCAGCACUUGAAGCACUGCAUCCUCCUCCCCUGACUCUUCAACUCUACAGGAGCACAUCUACCUCAGUGGUGUGAGCAGCAGUAGGAAGAGAUAGAGCAGAGGAGAGGAAAGGAGGCUGCUAACAUCCCACAUUGAACUAUGGGGAACAUCAAAUCACAUGAUGCCCAGAGAACUGAUCGCAGCAUCGCGGUCUGUGACAUUCAACCUCUGUGGAGAAUCGCAAACACACAGUCGCACUGUUCCCAGUGUUAAUAGAUAGAGGUGAUGGUGUCAGGACAGAAGCCCUUUCACGAGAUGACUCCCAAUACUCUUUAACAUGCACACCACCAAACUGUCUUCUUUGUGGUGCUGGGAAUACACGCCUAAUAAAAGAUGAUACGCACACGUUUGUCCUCUUUCCCCAAAAUGUCUAUGGAAAAAUAUGUGGUCCCUUUGGGGAUACAUGUAUGUAUAGAACAUGGAGGCACACGUUAUAUUUGGUGAAAGAACACUGGGUGGUGACUGUUUGAGCCUGAGGGCAUGUUAUGUGCAGUCCUAGGCAUGGAGAAUGGCAUCAGCCUUAAGCUGAUGAUGACUGAUGACCCAACUUGGAAUCGUCAGGUCAACUGGUCAGGAAACACUUAUUAUUCUAUGGGGUAUAAUGCUGUCAGAAGUUCAGAAAUAUGAGGUUCCAAUAAGCAUUUUCAAGGCAGCAUAACCUCUGUAAAACCUUUUUAAGGGAAUGAUGUAAACGUUUCUGUAUAAGCGUGUGAGUAAUUCAACUCAAAAUGUAUACAGUAAAAAUGGUAUAUUGCAUGUUUUUUGUUUUAUUAUUUUUUCUGGUGAAGUUGUAAACCAAUUGUUAUUUUUGUAUAAAGACUGACUGUUCUGUAUAGUGCUGUAAUAAAAGGUGCAAAGUGUAA